CGCACAUUGCGCCCUUUGGUAUUCCGAAGGGCAUGCCCGUUCGAGCGUUAUUAAACCCACUCAAGCCUGGCUUGGUCAUGGGCGUCGGGACGUCCCCGCGCUUCAAUCUCACCGGCGAGACUUUUUAUCGCGAGCGUCAUGGAUUUUCAACCCGCGAAGCGAUCGAAAAGGCCUCUGCCGUUAAAACUUCAAUCAAGGUUGACCUCGGAUCGGGUAGGGAUACCCGCUGAACUUAA
rnacentral:misc_RNA from 1 species